GUAACAGGAAGAAGCUUGCUUCUUUGCUGACGAGUGGCGGACGGGUGAGUAAUGUCUGGGAAACUGCCUGAUGGAGGGGGAUAACUACUGGAAACGGUAGCUAAUACCGCAUAACGUCGCAAGACCAAAGAGGGGGACCUUCGGGCCUCUUGCCAUCGGAUGUGCCCAGAUGGGAUUAGCUAGUAGGUGGGGUAACGGCUCACCUAGGCGACGAUCCCUAGCUGGUCUGAGAGGAUGACCAGCCACACUGGAACUGAGACACGGUCCAGACUCCUACGGGAGGCAGCAGUGGGGAAUAUUGCACAAUGGGCGCAAGCCUGAUGCAGCCAUGCCGCGUGUAUGAAGAAGGCCUUAGGGUUGUAAAGUACUUUCAGCGGGGAGGAAGGGAGUAAAGUUAAUACCUUUGCUCAUUGACGUUACCCGCAGAAGAAGCACCGGCUAACUCCGUGCCAGCAGCCGCGGUAAUACGGAGGGUGCAAGCGUUAAUCGGAAUUACUGGGCGUAAAGCGCACGCAGGCGGUUUGUUAAGUCAGAUGUGAAAUCCCCGGGCUCAACCUGGGAACUGCAUCUGAUACUGGCAAGCUUGAGUCUCGUAGAGGGGGGUAGAAUUCCAGGUGUAGCGGUGAAAUGCGUAGAGAUCUGGAGGAAUACCGGUGGCGA
rnacentral:rRNA from 1 species